rnacentral:rRNA from 1 species
GNNGGGUCGUAANAAAANAAUACCCAANAAAUAUUGCCGCCAAACAACUACGAGUGAAAACUUAAAACUUAAAAGACUUGACGGUACUUCAUAACCAACCUAGAGGAGCCUGUCUAAUAACCGAUAAUCCACGAUCAACCCUACCACUUCUAGCCAUCCAGUCUAUAUACCACCGUCGCCAGCCUACCUUAUGAAAGAACCAAAGUAAGUUCAACAGUACCACACUAACACGACAGGUCGAGGUGUAACAAAUGAAGUGGACUAUGAUGGGCUACAUUUUCUAACACAGAAAACACGAACAAAGAUAUGAAAUUAUCUAUCAAAGGCGGAUUUAGCAGUAAGCUAAGAACACGAUCCUUAACUGAAACCAACGCAAUGAAGUGCGC